GAUGAGCGCUGGCGGCGUGCCUAAUACAUGCAAGUCGAGCGAACAGACGAGGAGCUUGCUCCUCUGACGUUAGCGGCGGACGGGUGAGUAACACGUGGAUAACCUACCUAUAAGACUGGGAUAACUUCGGGAAACCGGAGCUAAUACCGGAUAAUAUAUUGAACCGCAUGGUUCAAUAGUGAAAGACGGUUUUGCUGUCACUUAUAGAUGGAUCCGCGCCGCAUUAGCUAGUUGGUAAGGUAACGGCUUACCAAGGCAACGAUGCGUAGCCGACCUGAGAGGGUGAUCGCCCACACUGAACCUGAGACCCGGUCAGGACUCCUCGGGAGGGAAGCGGUGGGAAAUCUCCCGCAAUGGGCGAAAGCUUGCCGGAGCACCGCGGCGUGGGUGAUGAGGUCUUCGGAUCGUAAAACUCUGUUAUUAGGGAAGAACAAAUGUGUAAGUAACUAUGCACGUCUUGACGGUACCUAAUCAGAAAGCCACGGCUAACUACGUG
rnacentral:rRNA from 1 species